rnacentral:rRNA from 1 species
UACGUAGGGCGCAAGCGUUGUCCGGAAUUAUUGGGCGUAAAGAGCUCGUAGGCGGCUUGUCACGUCGGGUGUGAAAGCCCGGGGCUUAACCCCGGGUCUGCAUUCGAUACGGGCUGGCUAGAGUGUGGUAGGGGAGAUCGGAAUUCCUGGUGUAGCGGUGAAAUGCGCAGAUAUCAGGAGGAACACCGGUGGCGAAAGCGGCUCUCUGGAACGGUACUGACGCUGAGACGCGAAAGCGUGGGGAGCGAACAGG